rnacentral:rRNA from 1 species
ACGGCGAGUGAAGCGGUAACAGCUCAAAUUUGAAAUCUGGCAUCACGGUCCGAGUUGUAAUUUGUAGAGGAUGCUUCGAGCAUGGUCUGGCCUAAGUUCCUUGGAACAGGACGUCAUAGAGGGUGAGAAUCCCGUAUGCGGCCAGGUGCCUACGCUCAUGUGAAGCUCCUUCGACGAGUCGAGUUGUUUGGGAAUGCAGCUCAAAAUGGGUGGUAAAUUUCAUCUAAAGCUAAAUAUUGGCCAGAGACCGAUAGCGCACAAGUAGAGUGAUCGAAAGAUGAAAAGCACUUUGGAAAGAGAGUUAAACAGUACGUGAAAUUGUUGAAAGGGAAGCGCUUGCAACCAGACUUGCGCGCGGCCGAUCAUCCGGUGUUCUCACCGGUGCACUCGGCCGUGCUCAGGCCAGCAUCGGUUUUGGCGGCUGGAUAAAGGCCCUAGGAAUGUAGCUCCUCUCGGGGAGUGUUAUAGCCUAGGGUGCAAUGCAGCCUGCUGGGACCGAGGACCGCGCU